rnacentral:tRNA from 1 species
GGGGGUAUAGCUCAGUGGUAGAGUGUGUGCUUAGCAUGCACAAGGUCCCGGGUUCAAUCCCCAGUACCUCCA